GAUAAACGCUGGCGGCGUGCAUAACACAUGCAAGUCGAACGAUGACGAUUAAAAGAUUUCUUCGGAAUGAACUUAAUUGGAUUAGUGGCCGACGGGCUAGUAACGCGUGAGUAACCUGCCUUGUACAUGGGGAUAGCCGUUCGCAACGACGAAUAAUACCCUAUCACAUUAAAUAAUCGCAUGCUAAUUUGAUCAAUGAUUUAUUGGUUUAAGAUGGACUUUCGUCUGAUUUGCUAGAUUGUAAAGUAAAAGCUUACCAAGGCAACGAUCAGUAGCAGGCUUGAGGGAGUGUACAGCCACAUUGGGACUGGGACACGUCCCCGACAGCUAGGGGUGGUAGCAGUGGGGAUAUGGCGGCAAUGAGAGAAACGCAGAAAGAGCGAGGCCGCGUGAUUUACAAGGCAUUCGGAUUAUGAAAAUCUGUAGUAUGAGAAGAAAGUGACAGUACCAUACGAAUAAGGACCGGCUAACUACGUG
rnacentral:rRNA from 1 species